UAGGGAAUUUUCCACAAUGGGCGAAAGCCUGAUGGAGCAACGCCGCGUGCAGGAUGAAGGCUUUCGGGUCGUAAACUGCUUUUAUGUGUGAAGAAUUUGACUGUAACACAAGAAUAAGGGUCGGCUAACUACGUGCCAGCAGCCGCGGUCAUACGUAGGACCCAAGCAUUAUCCGGAAUUACUGGGCGUAAAGAGUUGCGUAGGUGGCACUGUAAGCAAGGCAUGAAAUCGUGUGGCUCAACCAUACGGCUAUGUUUUGAACUGCAGAGCUAGAGAAUGAGAGGGGUAGAUGGAAUUACUAGUGUAGGAGUGAAAUCCGUAGAUAUUAGUAGGAACACCGAUAGCGUAGGCAGUCUACUGGCUCAUUUCUGACACUCAGGCACGAAAGCGUGGGGAGCAAACGGG
rnacentral:rRNA from 1 species